rnacentral:rRNA from 1 species
CCCUACGGGGGGCAGCAGUAGGGAAUCUUCCACAAUGGGCGAAAGCCUGAUGGGGCAACGCCGCGUGGGUGAAGAAGGUCUUCGGAUCGUAAAACCCUGUUGUUAGAGAAGAAAGUGCGUGAGAGUAACUGUUCACGUUUCGACGGUAUCUAACCAGAAAGCCACGGCUAACUACGUGCCAGCAGCCGCGGUAAUACGUAGGUGGCAAGCGUUAUCCGGAUUUAUUGGGCGUAAAGGGAACGCAGGCGGUCUUUUAAGUCUGAUGUGAAAGCCUUCGGUUUAACCGGAGGAGCGCCUUGGAAACG